CCAAGGUGGCCACUUUCAGGAGGUAC
rnacentral:piRNA from 1 species